UUAGGGCUUUUUUGCGCUCUUUCGCUUCGAAAUUUUCCCAUCCCCCGCCCAAAAUUUUCUCAUCUUCCAACCAUUCCCUUUCUGUCCUCUGCAUCCUUCGUUUCGCUCUCAAAAACUGAUUUCCUUUCUCUCUCUAGGUUUAUGCUUCAACAUGGCGACUGAUGAAUACCUUGGAAGCAUAGGUUAGAGCUUUAGCUAGUGGGGUCAGUUUGCAAUCGGAAAGAAGCAAGUGGAAUCUGUACAUCAUUUCCAAGGCGUAAUCUACGUUCGGUGUUUAGCAUUAUCAAGGUUUGACGUCUAAACCGCAUUAUGUCUCGUGAUGGAGAAUCCUCUAGAAAGGGUGCUAAAAGAGCACGAAAGCAGUUGUUAGCAGUUAUAGCUGCCACAAUGAAUCAAGAAAAGGAGGGUGUGAACAUAUCAGAGUGCUGCAAUUCUCUUCAUACACCCUCUGCUGAAGGAAUUAGCCCUUCACCACUGUUUGACUUAGCUUCAAUAGGUGCUUCAGUGCAUCCAGAAAAUACAGGUGUGAACACAACAGAGGAGAGUUCCAAUUCUCCGGACACCACCUCUACUGAAGGGCUUAGUGCCCCUUUACCCAAUCCCACUGCUGGAGUUAGCCUUCCACCGAAUGAUUCCACAAGAAAUAAUCGUAAGAGAAAGGUCAGGGGCAAGUCAAGGUUAGAAAACAUUACCAAAGGAGAAGAGGGACCCCUUCCGAUUACAUUUAAUGAAAGAGGACAGCCAAUUGGGGAAUUUCCUGCUAAAUUUACUUCUUGUCUAGGGAUCCUAGCAAGAGAUUUAGUACCGGUGACAUUAGAAAAAUGGAAAGAUUUGUCAGAGGACAUCAGAGACCAGUUAUGGACUUCCAUACAGCAAAAUUUUAUAGUUGAUGAUUGGAACAAAAAAGUAACAUUUCAGAACAUCGGAAAUUAAUUUAUGGCAUGGUCACAAAUCGAAAAUAACAAAAGAAAUAAUUGCCCAAGGAGAAACUGCUGCAUCUCUUCUGAAGACGAAGAAUGUAAAAUCAAUGGAAGAGUGGCAACAAUUUGUUAAAGAACGAUGUUCUAAAGAUUUUAAGGAAAAAAGUAAAAAGUUUAAAGAACUGAGAUAGUGAGAUCUAAGCAGAAAAUCGUACACACAACGAGCUGUAAGGGUUACGCUCGGUUGGAGGAUGACAUGCGGAGAGAAAGUAAAACGCCCGGUGCUAUUAUAUUAUUGUUGUUGUGUAGCGGAGAGAAAGUAAAACGCCCGGUGCUAUUUCAAGAGUAGAUAUUUGGAUUAGAGGGCAUUUGAGGAAGGACGGUCAACCAGUAAAUGAAGCAGUGAGAGACACAAUGAAGAAGAUGCAAGAACAUAUCCAAACUGCCACUCCUCAGAAUACAAACUCGCUUCGGGUUGAUGUCGUCACAAAAGUACUGGGCCCCGAGCACCGAGGACGAGUUAGAGGACUUGGGUUUGGGGCAAUCCCUUCAAAAAUUGAUGUGCGUGUAAAACAACGUGGACAAGUACAAAGAAAUGAUGCAAAGUUUCAAGCAAUGACUCAACGGGUUGAUGACCUUCAAGCUGUAAUCGAUCAGUUAACAACCCGCUUGGAUGCAAAUGCAAGUGGUCUAUCUAAUGCCACCCCCAGUGUGCAGCCUUCAGAACACGUAGAAGGGGCACAAUGCAAAUUGUUGAAUUGGUGCGGGACAGGAGUUGUUGCUGUGGGGGAAAUUGAAUCAACGGAUCCCAGUGCAUGUGUGCAGGAUGUUCCUAUCGGACCCGAUUGUUGGAAAGUGUGGGUCAAUGUUGCAUCCACACCCGGUGUUCCUUUAUAUCGGCCGACACAAAAUUUCUUCUUCAUUGAAGAUGCUAUUGGGAAUACAAUUGCAUGGCCUAGCAAGUUUAUUAAAAUUGAUUAGUUGUACUUACCUUUGGAGCUAAUGGUUUUAAUGCAUGUGUGAUCUAGAUGUUGAUAUUUCCAGGCCAUUUUUGUGUGCUGUUCUUGUUAAAACGAAGCCUACACUUAAAAACUGUUAAGCGUGCAUUGUACUUGUAUAAGUCAUUUCUGUUUGACUUCUUGUACUUAUUUUUGGAGGUGAGAGAACGGGGUGAGUCGAAUCUGGCUCCCAAACGAGUCGGGAGAGGGCUUACCAACUGGGCUCAUUUUACCUGU